CGAGAGAGUCCAGUGCAAACAUUUCCAUCGACGGAAUCUUGACGACAUAGCACCACCAAUGCCCGUCAUGGACAAUUGGGACAAACAACUACAAAAACUUGUGUGUCAAAAAGUUUACAAUAAAUCAACUACAUUGUGUCAAACUACAUUGUGUAACAUUUAAUUCCACUCACAAAUUCAACAUUAAUUAUGUCCUCAAACCCAAUGAUCUGGG
rnacentral:lncRNA from 1 species